GCUAACUCAGGAUAAACCGGAUUGGGGUUAGGCGGGUGGUGACAUGCUGCUAUUUGUGAAGGAUCCUGGCCUCCUGCUCCUGUGACAUCAGCAGGGUCUCUAAAGCAGGGCUGAGGCACUUGGGCCAGAGUCUGCUCCUGAAGACACAGGCAUGGAGCUCCGUCAUCAUGCCUUGCCACAGGGAGGCCAUGAGGGUGCCAAAGGACCAGCCACAGGGCUUGAGGAGGAGUUUGAAGUCCUGUCUAAACCAAUUCUGCUUCAGACAUUCACCCUCCCAGGAAGGCCCAGACCAGAGAAAUCUCCAAGCCCCACAAGCCCCUUUGCUAAUGGCUAGAACUGGUUACUCAUUGGCAGAGCCUGUUUUGGUUGAUAAACCUUUUUCUCACAUGUGAUGUCACUUGAUCUUCAUAACAAAACAAUAUUUCCUCAUUUUACAGAGGAGGAAACUAAAGCUCAGAGUUUAAGCAACGAGCUUAAAGGAUACCAACUAGGAAGCAGUAAAUCUAGGACAGGGACCCAGAUGGUCAAAUUCCAAGGUCAUCGUUGUCUCUGGGAUGUCGUGUCCCUCACUCCAGGCCCUAGGGACCCAGAAAAGCCCCACCAGGACUCAGACAGUGGGCUGAGGCCUUCCCAGCCAGCACAGCUGUGUAUCUGUGGCCCAAAGGGCCCAGAGGCCCACCACGCUUCUGCCCUUCACAGCAGCGCCGGUUCAUCGAGAAGGUCAGAAAAGUGAAGUCAUUCUCUAGUGUGCCUGAGAUCUCAGGGCAGACCUUGCCUGAGGCUAGACAAGGCUGAAUCUCUUUCCUCCUGCUCAACCCCAUGAUGUUCUUUGAAGAGCUGUGAGGAACAGGGAAUGGCUAUCUUGGUGGGGACAACGGGUGGAAGCAGCAGCAAGCAGAUGGGACAAAAUGUAGAGAAGGAUCAGUAUGAAGAUGAACUCUCCAGCCUGGUCAGGGGUUGUGAUCGGCUGCUUUACAAAAAGAUUUUUUCCACCUUUCCUUGAGAAACAAAUGCAUGCCUCAUGCAGCAGAUCAAGGUGGUGACUGUAUUUGCCAGCGUACCAGACACACAACUGCGUAAGGGAAAAGGAAUUUCUCCUGGAGCUGAUAAUUUCCAACAUGUUCAGCAACAUUUGUCUCUUGGGCUUCUGAAUAAGACCAGGAGGCAUAUGGGAUCUUAGCACGCUGACCAGGGAUCCAAACUGCACUGGAAGUUUCAACCACUGGACUGCCAGAGAAGUUCAUAAAAUGGUUGCUUUUAUAGUUUUGUGAAUUUUACCUCAAUUAAAAAAAAAAUUGCAUAAACACUGAAUCAUUUCUAAAUGUCCCGAAGGGCACGGCAGUGCUAUAUUCCAGGGCAGCCCCAGAGUCAAGGUCCCAUGGCACCUUGUACUGCACCUUUGGAUCAAGACUGGAGUCCCCCCAUGUGUAAGCAAGACCUCCAAGUGUCCUCAGAGACACUCAGCUGAGCACUAUUACCAACCAGCUGAGUGUGUGUAUUUUGGUUUGUUACUUCACUGGCUGAGUCCUUAACAAGGACUUCUGAAGGUGCUUAGUUUGAUUAAGGAUUUGAUAGUUCCAGAGGUGGAGCCUGGAGCAGGCUUUAUUUUUUCCUUUAAACCAGGGGGAUCUUCGCAGAGACAACAGCUCACAGCCUGCGGAUGGCGCCCCAGAUGCUCUCCUGGGCCAUCUGACUGUCCACUGGGACCCGUGGGGAGGAAGGAGGAUGAUCCCAUCCCAGAGGGCAGAAUCGGGGCACUUGAUACCUUUCCUUGUGCCUUCACAUAUACCGUUUCAUUCACUAGCCUAAGAAACAAACAUAGCUACCACCUUGGAAAAUAGCAACUCCGGGGGAAAUUCCUGUUCCCUUAGCCAGCAGUGGUCCAGUGAGCAAAGAAAGCCCAGUGACAAGCAUCCACUUGGGAAACUCUAGGUCCUGGGAGUUCCUCACCAAGAUGCCUUUCCUGGGAGAGAACCCCAUUCAGUCCAAAGAACUCCAACUCUGUUAGAAAUGUAAUCGACAGCAUUUACCAUCAAGCCAGAUCACUGAACCAGUUUGGACCAAGACAGCCUAGACUCAGCUGGAAUUGCAGAAUUCCCCAACAGACCCUGUUAGAACCCAGUGAAGGUGGCCCCUUAUUGUUUUUCUCAAUUAAAAAAAAAAAAAAAAAAAACAACCAAAACUAAGAAGCUUUCUGCAUGCUUUUAAGGCAUUUACAGCUGCCCAGAGAAGCAGGACUACUUAUGACUCCACUUAAUAAGCACCUGGCAAUCACCAACCUCUCUAAUUGCCAUGUGGGUGAAGAGGUGGGAAUUCAAACAAACGAAGGAGAUUUCGAAGUGUUACUGGAAGAUGAAAAAUGUGACGGAAGCGCCUAGGCAUGAGAGGCAAGCAGAGACACAUGCUUCUCUCAGGGCAGCAUAACCCAGAAAGCCGACUGAAGCUGAUGUGAACAUUCCCAGCAUCUGCCUCCUGGACACUUACACCGAAAAGAGCCGCAUCAACUGCUCAGAAAAAUGCAGGUACCACUGAGACACCCCAGGUACCAUGGCCUGUGUUGUUUCCUCAGGCAAAAGUUGUUGCUGGGAGACCCAGUGCCAAGAGUUUUGAAUGUCCGGUUCCUCACACCCCAGGCCUUCUCAAAAGGGAAAGGAGAUAAAACAUGGGGGUUCCCACAGCACUAUCAAUACCCUCCCCCUUUACAGAGAGGAAACUCUGGUUCAGAGAGAUUACAAGUAGAGAGGCAGGGCUAGGAUUCAGAGUGCCCGUAACUCUCACAGUCCAGAGCUCUUGGGUCCUCCAAGGAACGAGGCCUUCACUCUGGGCUCCUCUUCCGCAGGUUAGGAGUGGUAACUCAGUGCCUAACAUUCAGCUGCUGCCGACCAUCCUGACUGCUAACUACUCACACGUGUGCCUCCCUAGAGCACCCAGGACAGACACUCUCAUUUACCCCCGGCUUCCUGGGCAGGGUCCAGCUGACACUUCUCAGUGUUCCACACCCACCAACCUGUGUCUAUUCAAAAAGGACGUCGGGAUGUGAUUGUCCCACUUAUGUACAUGCCUUGGUUGUUUCCAGAGGCCUGCGUAUGACCUCAUGCAACCACCUGGACCCUCUGAGCAAUACCUUAAAUUGGCUUUUUGAAGAUUCUCAAGUCCCCAGAGUCAAUUUUAUUGAAACAAAAUACAAAGUGCCCCCAGGAAGGGACAGCCCUGUGAACUGUUAGUGGCUAGCAUUUGGCAGUACG
ensembl:lncRNA